UUUCAAAUCCUAUUUAAAGCCAAGUCUCUGGCCUGGCCAAAUCACUCUGGCUGCAGUCAUCCUGGGCAUCCCUCUGGCCUGCUGUAGCUAUGCUGAUGAUGCUGUGAUUCUUUCACAGUCCCCUAUUGGGUUAAGAAGAGCUUUGUCAGCUCUUGCUUGUUGCUGUAAGGAAAAUUUCUUGCACAUUAACUAACAGAAGACUAAAAUUAUGAGGUUUCCCAACUCUCCUAAGAAGUUGCAUUGAUACUGCAUACAAGAAGCUCUGUUCAACACUGCUGAAAGCUUGUUCAGCCUCAAGGAACACAGAAGUAAACAGAAAAGCAGAAUAGACUAUGCAACAGCCAAAACCAAUCACAAAGCUAUACGUUCAUGGAGCAAAAGAACCUGAAGUGGGGCCAGAUGCAUAUGCAUCCAGGAGAUUUAUCAUCACCCUAGAGAAUACACUCCAUUUAGAUGUGGUCUGUCUGCAAAAAGAAAAAAACAAAGAAAGAUCUCCUGAGAAUAUAUGUAAAUAAAAAGGAACAAAUAGAGACUAACAAAGCACAGACACUACAUGAAGGACUGACUGUGGCGAUGGCAUGCUGGCAGAUCCCAAAGCUGAAAGGCAGGACAGACAAGAGUCUGGAAAGCAGGCAAGCUCAGAGAUGUUCCAGUGCUGGUCACUCAUGUAAGGGAGUGAGCUUUUAAGAGACAGGUGCCUGACACCUUGCAAGGCUUGCCAGCUGGUAUUUAAAGAGCUAGUCAGUGUUGAGAAGGGGAAGGAGGAAACAAAGGGCAAAGCACACUGUAUUAGGAAGGACAGGAUGGACAAGCCAGUGGCGUCAGUGGAGAGAGAUGGGGUAGAAGGUGCUGAUGUCCCCGCUCCUGCACCCUUCCUUGCCUUUUUCUACUGAGGCCACAUAUAGGCAGGAACCAUGGUACCUCCUUCUACUUCCCGAGAUCCACAAAAAGCUUUGUAUAUUUAUGUGAAAUAAGUGAUAUAUAUAUUCUAUGAAAUAAAGAAAGUGGUUAACUCUG